GCAGUCGACGGACUCAUAUUGAAACCUAGUGAUUUAUGAGUUAGUGGCGGACGGGUGAGUAACGCGUGGAAAACCUGCCGUAUACCGGGGGAUAACACUUAGAAAUAGGUGCUAAUACCGCAUAAGCGCACAGCUUCGCAUGAAGCAGUGUGAAAAACUCCGGUGGUAUACGAUGGUUCCGCGUCUGAUUAGCUAGUUGGCGGGGUAACGGCCCACCAAGGCAGCGAUCAGUAGCCGGCCUGAGAGGGUGAACGGCCACAUUGGGACUGAGACACGGCCCAAACUCCUACGGGAGGCAGCAGUGGGGAAUAUUGCACAAUGGGGGAAACCCUGAUGCAGCGACGCCGCGUGAGUGAAGAAGUAUUUCGGUACGUAAAGCUCUAUCAGCAGGGAAGAAAAUGACGGUACCUGACUAAGAAGCCCCGGCUAACUACGUGCCAGCAGCCGCGGUAAUACGUAGGGGGCAAGCGUUAUCCGGAUUUACUGGGUGUAAAGGGAGCGUAGACGGCAGUGCAAGUCUGGAGUGAAAGGCGGGGGCUCAACCCCCGGACUGCUCUGGAAACUGUACGGCUGGAGUGCAGGAGAGGUAAGUGGAAUUCCUAGUGUAGCGGUGAAAUGCGUAGAUAUUAGGAGGAACACCAGUGGCGAAGGCGGCUUACUGGACCGUAACUGACGUUGAGGCUCGAAAGCGUGGGGAGCAAACAGGAUUAGAUACCCUGGUAGUCCACGCCGUANACGAUGAUUACUNGGUGUCGGGGGACCAAGGUCCUCCGGUGCCGGCGCAAACGCAUUAAGUAAUCC
rnacentral:rRNA from 1 species